rnacentral:lncRNA from 1 species
UACGCAGGCGCGGAGUGGGGCCGGGCCCGAGCGAGGGGCGGGGCCUAACGGAGCUCACCUGGAAGGUGGGGCGCCGGCUGGCCGACCAGGUGCGCGCGGGAAAACGGAGGCGGUCAGAAAACAGACCCUUGGAGCCCGCGAGGGCGCGGCUUCUUCCGGAAAGCAGGCAGUGGGAGAAGCCUUCGUUUUCGCGCAGUGGGAGGGCUUUCAGUGACCGGCCCGCUGGGUCCUGGGACGUCAGCAGCCAGUCGUUCGGAGGCUUGCACGCAGCAAAGAUGGAUGCAGCUGGAAAGGGUCGUGUGUCGCGGCCGCGCGCCGUACAGGUGAGCGCUGAACAAAGCUGUGCACCGCAGCUCAGCUCCGACGUCUCGCUUCAGGGCCGAGGAAUGCAAGGCCUUUAAAAGAAGGAAUUGGCCUCCCGUGACUCCCCCGAAGACAGCCUUUCUCCACCACCGCACUGCGGAGAGGCCGUCCCGGCGGCGGAGCGACUCACCGCGCCGCCGCCGCCGCGCAGAAAGCCUGGCCCAGGGAACUCGGCUCAGCAGAAUCCCCAGAGCCUUACCUACCGAGCCUGACCCCGGUUGGGUAGGGACGGAAUGUGACUUCUACAAGGCCCGAAAUGUCCCGUUUCUAGUCCCCAUUCCAGAACUCACCCAACUGUCCUCGCAAGGUUAGGAACUGAAAAUUCCCAAGAUCGCACAGGAACCCAUUUGACUUCAGUUUCAGUUAAGAUGCCUUUUGAGCAUUUUCUUGGUUGGAUGCAGGAGGAAGGAGGGAGGAAGCAUCAGAGGGUUUGUAUUCUUGCAAAGCGGAAUGCAGGACUUGGAGUCUGAAUCCAGUCUGGCGUUCUUCUCUCCCUUCUUCCCUCCCCUAGCCUGGUGUCCAGAAGCCAGUGACCGACUUGGUUCCGACUUGGUUCCUCGAGUGCGACAACUCAGCCGCAUCAUAAUAAACCGCCUCCCAAAUUGUUGUCAGCUCAAAUUACAGGACAUGUUAUUGGAAAGCACUUUGUACACUGUAAACUGCAGCACAAUUGUCAGUUAGCAAUGCUCUUUGGGAUUUUGCUGGCACCUUUUUUUUUCCAAAAAAAGAUUGAUAUGUGCCUGCUCAAAUAAAUUAAAGUGCUGGUCUCGGAUGACAUACUUGGCAGGUACACGAUGUUCACAGGCCAACUGGAGGGCUUAUUUCAAUACAGAGAUAUAACCAGUUGGUGAGUAUUGAGAAAUGAUUAGCUUUCCUUUGUGUAUUUGAUAUUUCAUAGCAGAGCAUGACAAGAACCAAAAAGGAUAGAUGUUGUUGGCAAAACCCCUGGGUUUUCCACCACAGUACAUCGACAUUUGGAGCUGGAUGAUUCCUUUUUGAGGAUUGUCCUAUGCAUUGUAGGACAUUUGGCAGCAUUCUUGGUCUCUCUUCACUAGAUGCAAAUAGCAGAUGCUUCCCCACCCCUAACAAAACUAUCUCCAGAUUCAAAUGUAUUGCCCAAUUUUCUUUCCUCACUCCCAAACACUGCUUUAACUUUUGUCUGUUGUGACGGUAACAUUGGGAGCCUUCAAGAUUGCAUAGGCCAGAGACAUCAGAAAGGGCCACACUCCAGAGCUCUGAAUGUCCCUAUUGGGUUGUUUUGUUUUUCUCCACACUGGGAAAUGAACCCAAGGGUACUUUACAGCUGGGCUACUUCCCCACCUUUCUUUUCUUUUUCUUUCUUUUUUUUUUAAUAUGAAUGGAACACUUGACCACUAAGCUAAAUUCCCAACCCUAUUUUCUUACUUUCACAUACAGCCUCACUAAUUUGGCCUCCAACUUCCUAUCCUGCUUCUGCUUCAGCCUUCUAAGUCCCUAGGAUUACAGACAUGGGUCAUAAUCUCCAGCUUCACACUGGGUUCUGAUAUCACAUAUAUACCUGCCAAAAGGGGUUUUAAAUAAAUCUAAUCAAAAUGGGUGGUAAACAUCAGACAAAUCCAAACUGAGGAACACUAAAACAAUUACAAUGAGCUUCUCAAAAAAUCUUGUACAAUGAGUAAAAUAGUCAGGAUAAUGAAUGGGCCCCAUUCAAACACACCUGGAGGCUAGACAUAUUAAUGAGCACCAUCAAGGCCUAUUUCAAAUGUAAAGGACCUUGAGACUCACCAGUGGGAACACCUUCAGCCAAUUCCUUUGCCCUGGAGCCGGAAAACAGAAGGUGAGUGUGAACCCAGAGGGAAGAAAGAGGUUGGAAGUGAAAGUGAAAGAUAGCCUGGAUGCCUUUCUCAAUACCUAUUUUACAUUGCUUUUGCUCCAUGCUCAGCCCAGAACCACGUAUAAACUCCUAAACAACCAAAAUGGUUUUUCUGCUAUCAGGCCCCCUCCCACAUGGCGGGAGUUCUAUAUCUUCUUGCUUAAAUAAAUCCUGUACCAUUUACUCUUCCCUUCUGAUUGUCCAUGGAUUUUAGUCUUCAACCCAGAGGAAAGCGGGGAAUCAAAUCAUCUCAAAAUUCCAGUUUCAUUACCAGAAAAAAAAUACAAAAAGCUGGGGAAUUAAUCCAGGAAAAGGAGACCACAACUAGUUAGUUGACCUUUGAUCUAGCUCUGGGUUGGGGGUGGGGGUGCUAAGAGAUUUGAAAGAUAAUAGGGGAACUUUGUAUAUACUGGAGAAUAUUACCAAAUCAUUCAGUUUUGCUAUGACUUUUAAAAAUAUCGGUAUUUUUAAGAGGUGCUUCUAAAUCAGAAUCCUGAUGACUACAAUUUGCUUUCAAAUGUCUCAGAAAUAUUGUCUUUCAUAUGGAAAAAAAAGCAAAUGUAGCAAAAUAUUAACAAUUGAUGAAUCUAGGUAAUGGAUAUGUGAAUGUUCAUUGUGUAAUCUUCAGUUUUUCUAGAGAACUGAAACUUUUCAGAAUAAAAAGUUGGAUAAACAGAAGA